UAGGGAAUCUUCCACAAUGGACGCAAGUCUGAUGGAGCAACGCCGCGUGAGUGAAGAAGGUCUUCGGAUCGUAAAGCUCUGUUGUUGGUGAAGAAGGAUAGAGGCAGUAAAUGGUCUUUAUUUGACGGUAAUCAACCAGAAAGUCACGGCUAACUACGUGCCAGCAGCCGCGGUAAUACGUAGGUGGCAAGCGUUGUCCGGAUUUAUUGGGCGUAAAGCGAGCGCAGGCGGAAUGAUAAGUCUGAUGUGAAAGCCCACGGCUCAACCGUGGAACUGCAUCGGAAACUGUCAUUCUUGAGUGCAGAAGAGGAGAGUGGAACUCCAUGUGUAGCGGUGGAAUGCGUAGAUAUAUGGAAGAACACCAGUGGCGAAGGCGGCUCUCUGGUCUGCAACUGACGCUGAGGCUCGAAAGCAUGGGUAGCGAACAGGAUUAGAUACCCUGGUAGUCCAUGCCGUAAACGAUGAGCGCUAGGUGUUGGGGACUUUCCGGUCCUCAGUGCCGCAGCAAACGCAUUAAGCGCUCCGCCUGGGGAGUACGACCGCAAGGUUGAAACG
rnacentral:rRNA from 1 species